rnacentral:rRNA from 1 species
UACGGGGGGAGCAAGCGUUAUCCGGAUUCACUGGGUUUAAAGGGUGCGUAGGCGGGCAGGUAAGUCAGUGGUGAAAUCCUGGAGCUUAACUCCAGAACUGCCAUUGAUACUAUCUGUCUUGAAUAUUGUGGAGGUAAGCGGAAUAUGUCAUGUAGCGGUGAAAUGCUUAGAUAUGACAUAGAACACCUAUUGCGAAGGCAGCUUACUACGCAUAUAUUGACGCUGAGGCACGAAAGCGUGGGGAUCAAACAGG